ACGGGAAGCAGCUCCAUUUUUGGGGGGCCCUUUACACAGUUCAAGGUCUGGGUCCCAGGGUCCACCUUCAUGUUCCACCAAUGAGUUUGUUCACAGGGGGUGGAGUGUGUAGGGGAUGUCCUGAUAUGUGUGUAAGGAAUGCAUUGUGUGAAUCUGUGUUUGUAUGUGUAAGGGCUGCAAGGUGUGUUUCUGUGUAUGUACAGGAUGCAGUGUGUGCGUGUGUAAGGGGUGCAUUGAGUGUGUGUAAGGAAUGCAUUGUGUGUUUCUGUGUGUGUAAGGGAUGCAUUGUGUGUAAGGGUUACAUUGUUUGUGUGUGUGUGUGUGUGUGUGUGUCUGUGU